GGGCCCGUAGCUCAGCUUGGAUAGAGCGAGUGAAGCCUAAAGGCUUCACCUCGAAUCGGCCUGCGGAGCCGAAGGUCCGGGGUUCAAGUCCCCGCGGGCCCGCCA
rnacentral:tRNA from 1 species